rnacentral:rRNA from 1 species
GAUGAACGCUGGCGGCGUGCCUAAUACAUGCAAGUCGAGCGAACGGACGAGAAGCUUGCUUCUCUGAUGUUAGCGGCGGACGGGUGAGUAACACGUGGAUAACCUACCUAUAAGACUGGGAUAACUGCGGGAAACCGGAGCUAAUACCGGAUGAUAUUUUGAACCGCAUGGUUCAAAAGUGAAAGACGGUCUUGCUGUCACUUAUAGAUGGAUCCGCGCUGCAUUAGCUAGUUGGUAAGGUAACGGCUUACCAAGGCAACGAUGCAUAGCCGACCUGAGAGGGUGAUCGGCCACACUGGAACUGAGACACGGUCCAGACUCCUACGGGAGGCAGCAGUAGGGAAUCUUCCGCAAUGGGCGAAAGCCUGACGGAGCAACGCCGCGUGAGUGAUGAAGGUCUUCGGAUCGUAAAACUCUGUUAUUAGGGAAGAACAUAUGUGUAAGUAACUGUGCACAUCUUGACGGUACCUAAUCAGAAAGCCACGGCUAACUACGUG